rnacentral:rRNA from 1 species
GUCCUACGGGGGGCAGCAGUGAGGAAUAUUGGUCAAUGGGAGAGAUCCUGAACCAGCCAAGCCGCGUGAGGGAAGACGGCCCUAUGGGUUGUAAACCUCUUUUGUCGGAGAACAAAACCCGGGACGUGUCCCGGACUGCGUGUAUCCGAAGAAAAAGCAUCGGCUAACUACGUGCCAGCAGCCGCGGUAAUACGUAGGUGGCAAGCGUUGUCCGGAUUUAUUGGGCGUAAAGCGAGUGCAGGCGGGUCAAUAAGUUUGAUGUGACAGACUUCGGCUCAACCGGAGGAUU